rnacentral:tRNA from 1 species
UUUUAUACAGUUUAAGAAAACAUUACAUUUUCAAUGUAAAGAUAGUUAACUAAAUUAACUUAUAAAAA